rnacentral:rRNA from 1 species
UACGUAGGGUGCGAGCGUUAAUCGGAAUUACUGGGCGUAAAGCGUGCGCAGGCGGUUUUGUAAGCCAGAUGUGAAAUCCCCGGGCUUAACCUGGGAAUGGCAUUUGGGACUGCAAGGCUUGAGUGCGGCAGAGGAGACUGGAAUUCCUGGUGUAGCAGUGAAAUGCGCAGAUAUCAGGAAGAACACCCGUGGCUAAGGCGGCUCUCUAGUACGGUACUGACGCUGAGACGCGAAAGCGUGGGGAGCGAACAGG